UACGUAGGGCGCAAGCGUUGUCCGGAAUUAUUGGGCGUAAAGAGCUCGUAGGCGGCUUGUCACGUCGGGUGUGAAGCCCGGGGCUUAACCCCGGGUCUGCAUUCGAUACGGGCUAGCUAGAGUGUGGUAGGGGAGAUCGGAAUUCCUGGUGUAGCGGUGAAAUGCGCAGAUAUCAGGAGGAACACCAGCGGCGAAGGCGGCGCUCUGGGCCGGAACUGACGCUGAGGAGCGAAAGCGUGGGUAGCAAACAGG
rnacentral:rRNA from 1 species